GACAAGCUGGUUCUUCUGGAAAGAGAGAACUGCCUACAGCCAUAUGCACCCCCAAUCUGUUCUCUACAAACAUGUCUUGGCCUUCUCCACACGUACCUCGUGGGUGCUGGGGGCAGCCACUGCGGAUGGACCAUCCAGUUAGGCCUCAGGUGGAAGACAAAAAGAAGGAGAAAGAGAGACACUGAGAGCUCCCGUCUGCUGGGCUGUACCUCAGAUGCCUGGGAAUGCUGUCCAGAUCUCCCACGUGGCUGGCAGGGACCAGUUACUGGGGCCAUCACUGCUGCCUCCCAGGAUCUGCAUUAGCAAGAAGCUUGGAUUCAGGAGCCAGAGCUGAAAAUCAACCUACAUAUUCUGAUAUGCAAAGACUGAGCUGUCCCUCCCAGAAUGCACAGAGACACACUGGAGCAAUCCUGAUAAAGAGAUACAGAAAUGGUGACACACAAAACCAGCAGCUAAUGAGUCUCUUGAUGAACCUGACCUUUUGAAGAAGCCAAAUUUGCUGCAUUGAACUGUGCUGUGCUUAAGAACUGUUGUACUUGUGCUUAAAGAUGUUAACACAUCUUAGUUGAGACAAAAAAAUCAGAAAGUAUAUUGUUCCCAUGAGACAACCUGAUCCAAUAGAAAGAGGAUGAUGUAUUAGACAUGUGAGGUAAGCAGAAUAUGCUAAAUUCCUUAAGGUGCUCAUUAAUAUAUUCCAAAG
rnacentral:lncRNA from 1 species